CCGACUCGGUAACAACAAGCAAAUGCGAUGAAUAUGACUUUGUUAAACUUGUAUUACUAUAAAUAGUACAAAAUAAAUUUAAGUUCCUACAUGCCUUCGACGCACUAGCAAUUAUGAUAAAGAAAUAAAUACGUUCGUCAUGGGAGGUAUCCACGUGACCAAUGUUUCCUGAACAGAAGAUCUAACAUUUACUGAUCAGUACACAGAAGCUUCUAGAGUCUUAACGUAACAAUAUCUAUAAAACACCAAAAUGUUAAAAUUAUGUUUAUUGCUAUCAAUUUUAUUCCUUAUCGGAGUCCCGGAAAGUUUUUCUUUUGAUUGCGACGGCAAUUGAUGUCAUCCGUCACAAGGUUAUCCGUGCUGUCAGUGGUAUACAUGUUCGAGUUAUUUUUUUCAGGGUGAAUGCUAUUUUCACUGAUAAUAAAAUAAUGAUUCCAGCAAUUGUUUACUGUUGAAAAUGUACAUUUACUUCAA